AUCAUGACCUGAGCUGAAGUCCGAUGCUUAACCGACUGAGCCACCCAGCUCUCACAACCAUGUGGCCCUGAGUGUUUUCCCCGUGGCAAACGAAACCAGGUACCCAUGAUGCAGUGCCCACAUCUGGUGAACCUUACUUCCUAGAAGGGCCUCUCCGCCUUCUGUGUGGUUGGAUUUCCCUUCUGUCACGCAUUCCAUGUAGGCCUGUAAGCCUACAGGCCGCGGCCUUCUCGUUGGCCUUACCUCACUGGACUCAUGCUUUCGGUGCUCACCCACGGGGCCACACAAAUCAGAACUGCCUUCCUUCUGAUAGGUGACAGGUAUUGGAUGGAAAGGGUACCAUGUAUUUGCUUCUUCAGUCAUCAAUUUACAGACAUUUUUGGUUCUUAUGAAUAAUACUGUUGGAAACACUUGUGUGCAAGUUUUGUGUGAACACGUUUUUCCGCCCUUCAGUGUAUUCCCAGGCGUGGAAGGACUGAGUCAUGUCAGAACUUUCUGAGGAGCUGCCAGACUGUUUCCACAGCAUGUAUGACAGCUUCUACUUCUCCUAUCCUCACCAACGCUUGGGGUACCGUAAACAAGUUAGAGCCGCUCCAUUGACUGUCAGUGCUGUGUCCUUGUGGUCUGGCACGUGUCCUUGGUGUACAACAUAGUGAUUCCACAAGCCUGUCCGUUAUGCUGGGCUCAGCACAAGUGUAGCUGCCAUCUGUCACCACACAACAUAUGACAACGUCAUUGACUGUAUCCCCUAUCCUGUGCUUUUCAUCCUCGUGACUCACUCAUUCCAUAAGUGGAAGCCUGUACCCCCCACCUCCCUUCCCUCUGACAACGAUUUUGGCGUCAUUGGCUUUCUGCGUGAGAACCUUUGUGGUGGGGCCAGCCAGGUGCGGACAUGGACAUUAGCUGACUUGGUGGCAGACCCGCCCACGUAAGCAGGGUUGUAUAAGAUCACCAAGUCAGAGUUCUGAGUGGGCCCAGUACCAAUGGAUUAGAGGACACAGUGGAAUGUUCCAGAUCAGAGAGGCCCUUUGUAUCCCCGCAUGUGCCGGAGCUCCCAACAUUCUCUCCCCUGGGACCCUUUGGAGAAAGCAGAGUCUUUUGUGGGGCAGACACUCAGCAUCAGCGUGGAAAAACUUCCCUCUACCCUUCAAAAUCUAUUUUGGCUAAGUUGACAUGAGAACGAUUAACAGGAGAAAAUAAAAUUUAAUUUUGUGUGUUUAGAAACC